AUCAUGCGAAUAUAAUAGCUUCUGAACACUAUAUAAAUGUUCACCAAGGUCUUUCAAUCCCUUGCGCCUACAUCUCCAAUGUUGUCUGCACUAGAAACCUAGAGCUAAGAGUGACAAUGGCAUGGCUCUCUUGGUCCCUCUCUCCCUUGAAGGCUCUCUCUGGUAAAUAUGGUUGCCUUUCACAAUGAACUUCCAUCAGAUCUUUGUGAGAGAGCCUUCAGGAGGGGGGGGGGAUCCAGGUGAGCCAUAGUGCCUGACUGCCUGUGCCCAGCAGCCAAGAUGUGUACUGUUUAGCCAUUUUGUGUAUUUGAUUAAUUGUUUGUUUCUAUGAGAACUUGGUUAAUCAUGUGUUGUAUUGAUUGUUCACAAAUGAAAUUAGCUUUUCUCAAUCAGCAUCGGUCACCGGAUGUAUGAGAAAUGGAUAGCGGGUGGGUUAUGUAUUCUUAUGUUUACAAGUAAGUGGGCGGUACUGAUCAUCUAUUCACUUGUAUCCAGGUAAGGAAAAGAGCGCUCUAAGGAAAAUAGGGGGUAAGUUGCCAAGUUUUUCUUGGAGCUCUCAGGGUCUCACCACAACUGAGAGGUGCACGUGCACAAGAAAAGGAGCUGGAUGAGUUUUCUGGGUCUUGGAUUACAGAAAUGGAUGAGAUGUUCUCCUUGUCUUGGGCUUCAAACCAUUCCUAAGUAAAAAUAUUUGAGUGUAAUUCUUUUUAACGCUAUUUUCCCUGGGAAUUGUCUUUUGUUAUCUGAGUUGUACAGAGCUGACAUUUUCCUGCUCUUUCUGGAAUAGAUCCGUAUGGUUUCUUUCACUUGGUGGCCCUCAUGUUAGAUUUUAUCUCAGCUUGUUCGGGGCUCAAAGCCGAUGUUGGUG
rnacentral:lncRNA from 1 species